UCUACGAUAAUGAAGAAACGGUAUCAAUCGGUAAAUGAAUGAUGGUUUUCUUAUUUGUUGAUUGAUGUGCAUCUUUUCUCACUGUUCUCUUUGCUUUUGAAAGGGACUAUCUGCCUCAAGCUUAUCUCUUUAUCUUGGAAAAUAUGAGCUAUCGUUUCUCCCUUCAAAUAUCCAGGUUCUCUUGAUAUUUGAGGCUGGGAUACUUAUCUUCUCUUUAUGAGUUCUAAGCGGGGUACCAUUUGAUUCAACAACAAAUGGUGGAGAUUUUAAAGAGGAAUUGUAUCAAAAGAUUUAAUUUCUUUCCUUUGAUUUAAAAUGGAGGAUGUUGUGAUAAAGCAAGAUGAGCUGAAGAAAGACGAUUACAUGAUGGAAAAUCAAUUUUGGUAUGGACCAGAAAACAUUAACAGUUGGUGAUUAGCUUGCAACAUUGCUGAUGAAAAAGAUAGUGAUAGACUGGUAGUGCUGAGAUUAUUUUCUACGUGUAUCAUUUCAGUCCUUACAAAUCCCAAUUUGAGUUAGAAAGUAGUGGCGAGGUGAUGUUUGUUUUUAAUUUUGAAUUGCAGUCUGAUUACUUAUAUAGAUUUGUACACUUUGUGAUAAUGUAUAUUAAAUUUCCGACCCGCGAAGUUCGCGGGUGAUAACCUA